GACGAACGCUGGCGGCGUGCUUAACACAUGCAAGUCGAACGGAAAGGCCCUGCUUUUGUGGGGUGCUCGAGUGGCGAACGGGUGAGUAACACGUGAGUAACCUGCCCUUGACUUUGGGAUAACUUCAGGAAACUGGGGCUAAUACCGGAUAGGAGCUCCUGCUGCAUGGUGGGGGUUGGAAAGUUUCGGCGGUUGGGGAUGGACUCGCGGCUUAUCAGCUUGUUGGGGGGGUAGUGGCUUACCAAGGCUUUGACGGGUGGCCGGCCUGGGAGGGUGACCGGCCACAUUGGGACUGAGAUACGGCCCAGACUCCUACGGGGGGCAGCAGUGGGGAAAAUUGCACAAUGGGCGGAAGCCUGAUGCAGCAACGCCGCGUGCGGGAUGACGGCCUUCGGGUUGUAACCCGCUUUCGCCUGUGACGAAGCGUGAGUGACGGUAAUGGGUAAAGAAGCACCGGCUAACUACGUG
rnacentral:rRNA from 1 species